UAGCAUGGGAUAACAUCAUAGGAUUCCGGUCCUAUUGUGUUGGCCUUCGGGAUCGGAGUAAUGAUUAAUAGGGACAGUCGGGGGCAUUCGUAUUUCAUAGUCAGAGGUGAAAUUCUUGGAUUUAUGAAAGACGCGCAACUGCGAAAGCAUUUGCCAAGGAUGUUUUCAUUAAUCAAGAACGAAAGUUGGGGGCUCGAAGACGAUCAGAUACCGUCCUAGUCUCAACCAUAAACGAUGCCGACCAGGGA
rnacentral:ncRNA from 1 species